GCCGUGCUGACCAGACCACCCUGAGUUUACUCUCAUCGUAGCCGUUAUUUGAGUCACGACACCCUGGAAUGCGAAGCUAGUUCCCCGCUCUGUCAUUUGCAAUUAAACAGUUUUAAGGUCACUGAAACAGUGUUGCAAGUCUAAAAAGCUCUUAUAACUGGUCGAAGCUAACAUUACCCCAGAAAUGGG
rnacentral:sRNA from 1 species